rnacentral:lncRNA from 1 species
AAUAUAUGUCAUAAAGCUGACCUGGAACCAUCCCAUAAUUCCAGUCAUGACAAUUGAUAUGAAACAUAAAACAGAGAUGUUCAGCCACACUUCAUACAAAACAAGCCUGUUGGUAGUCACCCUUUAGAUGUAUAUAGGAGAGAAUACAUGCCAGUAGAAGUCAAUGGGUUUGCAGGUGACAUUGUAUAUCAGCAUCAUUGUGGCAGUAGAUAAUAUGCACAUGUUGGUAAAUAAUUAGUGCCUUCUCUGAGCAUGAGGAAACUAGAAGAGCAGAGGAAGAAUUAAAACUUACCAGAAUUGCCAAUCUCCCACAGUGUGACCUGCUCCAGAGUGCAGGGAAGUUGAAAGGAGGCUAAAGAAGUUUGUGACAGGAAGGGACACACAUGGAGGAGAGGGCAGGUCCAUAUUUGUGGAGGUCAGUGGAUAAUAUUUGGAGUUGCUUCUUACAUUGCACCUUGUUGAAGGAAGGCCUCUCAUUUCUGCUAGCCUAUGAACUUCCAUCUGAUUCCCCAAUCUCUACCUCCUAUCACUAGGUAGGAGUGCUGGGAUGAUAAACUUUCCCAACAACAUCUGUGUUCCAUAGACUGAAGGGUUGUCAGGUUUGUGUAGCCUUUUUCACACAGAGCCAUCUCCUCAGUUCCCCAAAGUCAAGACUUACGAAGAAGCAUGAAGAUACAGGGAAAUGACUGGUAAAGCAAUUAAAGAAUCAUUACAAACUGUGGUUCAUACUUUAGAAUUAGUAUAGAGGCUGAGAUUCUGUUACUGUAAGAUCCUGACCUUUGUUGCAUACCGCAAUGAACUAAAAUAAUAAAAUGCGAAUUGCCAGUGUUAUUUCUUUGUGG